rnacentral:rRNA from 1 species
GACGAACGCUGGCGGCGUGCCUAAUACAUGCAAGUCGAACGCAGUGGGGACGGGUGAGUAACACGUGGGUAACCUCGCAUCAGAGGGGAUAACACUUGGAAACAGGUGCUAAACCGAUACUGAUGUAUCGACUCGGGGUGCAGUAGCUAGUUGGUGAGGUAACGGCCCACCAAGGCCACGAUGCAUACCCGGGCUGAGAGGGUGAGCGGCCAAACUGGGACUGAGACACGGCCCAGACUCCUACGGGAGGCAGCAGUAGGGCAUCUUCGGCAAUGGACGAAAGUCUGACCGAGCAAUGCCGCGUGAGUGAAGAAGGUUUGCGGGUCGUAAAACUCUGUAGUUGGAGAGGCGGUAUCUAAACAGAAAGCCACGGCUAACUCCGUGCCAGCAGCCGCGGUAAUAC